rnacentral:rRNA from 1 species
AACGAACGCUGGCGGCAGGCCUAACACAUGCAAGUCGAGCGGACCCUUCGGGGUUAGCGGCGGACGGGUGAGUAACGCGUGGGAAUAUGCCCUUCUCUACGGAAUAGUCCUGGGAAACUGGGGGUAAUACCGGAUACGCCCUUCGGGGGAAAGAUUUAUCGGGGAAGGAUUAGCCCGCGUUGGAUUAGGUAGUUGGUGGGGUAAUGGCCUACCAAGCCGACGAUCCAUAGCUGGUUUGAGAGGAUGAUCAGCCACACUGGGACUGAGACACGGCCCAGACUCCUACGGGAGGCAGCAGUGGGGAAUCUUAGACAAUGGGGGCAACCCUGAUCUAGCCAUGCCGCGUGAGUGAUGAAGGCCUUAGGGUUGUAAAGCUCUUUCAGCUGGGAAGAUAAUGACGGUACCAGCAGAAGAAGCCCCGGCUAACUCCGUG